rnacentral:rRNA from 1 species
UACGAAGGGGGCUAGCGUUGCUCGGAAUUACUGGGCGUAAAGGGCGCGUAGGCGGAUGUUUAAGUUGGGGGUGAAAGCCCGGGGCUCGACCUCGGAAUUGCCCUCAAUACUGGACAUCUUGAGUACGGGAGAGGUGAGUGGAACUCCGAGUGUAGAGGUGAAAUUCGUAGAUAUUCGGAAGAACACCAGUGGCGAAGGCGACUCACUGGCCCGUUACUGACGCUGAGGCGCGAAAGCGUGGGGAGCAAACAGG